UGCACUGGGUUUGCAAUGUAUCGGCCAGC
rnacentral:piRNA from 1 species